ensembl:lncRNA
GAUUGAUUGAUUGGGUCCCCUUCAAACCUGUAUCCAAUCUUAAUCCCAAAAGAGGAUGUUGUGCAGAGGUCAUGAAAACACUGAUCCAAAUAAAAAGCUUACAGCACCUAGUAUUCCCAGUCAGUCUCCCAACAAAGUACUAACCAGGCCCAACUCUGCUUUGCUUCCGAGGUCAGAUGAGAUCAGGCUUUGUCAGAGUGGUAUGGCUGUAAGCGAAAGCUGACCCCAAAUGGGGCCUAUUUAAAUAGUGUAAUCAAAGGACUGACUGACUGACUGACUGACUGAUUGAUUG